UAUUCAUUAUAAAAAUGAUAAUUUCAAUUUUCAAACAUCUCUUAUUUUUAAUUUAUUUUCAAUAAAAUCCGUUUUAUCUUAAUAGUAAAAAGUUUCUCAUUCCACAUUCACACAUAAACACAUUUAACUUUUUUCUUCAAAUCGUAUUAAAAAGAACCCUUUAUCGAUCGAAAACAUUCAAUCCUACAGAAUUUAUUUAUUACUAUCAGAAUAGAAGCAAUUGAUUUGAAUUACAGUACUAUUCGAUGCAAAUUUUGAAUCUUGUGUACACGGACACAAUUCUAUUCGAAUAACGGUCUAGAUAAAAAUUCAUCUGAAUGGCACUGUGGUGGGGAUGAUGUUGUUAGGGAGACUGCUGCCCGUGGCCGAUACCAGUCUGUUCGCGUUCACGUUCAGUCGGUGCGUGCUAGCGGCUCGUGUCGCGUGUUUUCAGUUCAUUUCUUUCUUCGUCGUCAUCCUCGACACACGAUUCGCCGUUUCGUUCAUCUUUACGCGAGUUUCGUUUACGGUUCACUCUGUACAAUCUUCGAAUUCCCCGUUGAAAUAUUACGGUGUGACAUCGAAAAGUGUCAGAGAAGACUCUGUGGUUCCGGACAGUCGAUAUCGAUCUUUGGAACACCGAUCGCGAAUCGAGAGGCCGGAAUGAGAGGAGAAGAAGCGGCGAGGUGAC